GGUUUCCGUAGGUGAACCUGCGGAAGGAUCAUUAAAGAGUAAGGGUGCUCAGCGCCCGACCUCCAACCCUUUGUUGUUAAAACUACCUUGUUGCUUUGGCGGGACCGCUCGGUCUCGAGCCGCUGGGGAUUCGUCCCAGGCGAGCGCCCGCCAGAGUUAAACCAAACUCUUGUUAUUAAACCGGUCGUCUGAGUUAAAAUUUUGAAUAAAUCAAAACUUUCAACAACGGAUCUCUUGGUUCUCGCAUCGAUGAAGAACGCAGCGAAAUGCGAUAAGUAAUGUGAAUUGCAGAAUUCAGUGAAUCAUCGAAUCUUUGAACGCACAUUGCGCCCCUUGGUAUUCCGAGGGGCAUGCCUGUUCGAGCGUCAUUACACCACUCAAGCUAUGCUUGGUAUUGGGUGCCGUCCUUAGUUGGGCGCGCCUUAAAGACCUCGGCGAGGCCACUCCGGCUUUAGGCGUAGUAGAAUUUAUUCGAACGUCUGUCAAAGGAGAGGAACUCUGCCGAUUGAAACCUUUUAUUUUUCUAGGUUGACCUCGGAUCAGGUAGGGAUACCCGCUGA
rnacentral:rRNA from 1 species